CCUACGGGAGGCAGCAGUGAGGAAUAUUGGUCAAUGGGCGAGAGCCUGAACCAGCCAAGUAGCGUGCAGGAUGACGGCCCUAUGGGUUGUAAACUGCUUUUAUAAGGGAAUAAAGUGAGUCUCGUGAGACUUUUUGCAUGUACCUUAUGAAUAAGGACCGACUAAUUCCGUGCCAGCAGC
rnacentral:rRNA from 1 species